rnacentral:lncRNA from 1 species
CUUUUUAAACUUGCCUUCUUCACUGUGGGCACGCUUCCACCCUCCAUUCCUCUUUCUUCUCCCUUAUCCUGUGUUCUCAAGAACUUAAAACCUCUUCAACUCUUGCCUGACCUAAAAUCUAAGUGUCUUAUUUUCUUCUGCAACACCGCUUGGCCCCAAUACAAACUUGACAAUGGUUCUAAAUGGCCAGAAAAUGACCCUUUUGAUUUCUCCAUCCUACGAGACCUAGAUAAUUUUUGCCAAAAAAUGGGCAAAUGGUCUGAGGUGCCUGACAUCCAGGCAUUCUUUUACACAUUGGUCCCUCCCUAGUCUCUGCUCCCAAUGCAACUCGUCCCAAAUCUUUCUUCUUUCUCUCCUGUCAGUUCCUUCAGUCUCCACCCCAAGCUCUGAGUCAUGUGAAUCCUCGUUUUCUACAGACCCAUCUGACCUUUCCCCUCCUCCCCAGGCUGCUCCUUGCCAGGCCAAUCCAGGUCCCAACUCUUCUUCAGCCUCCACUCCCCCACCCUAUAACCCUUCUAUUACCUUCCUUCAUCACGCCUGGUCUGGCUUACAGCUUCAUUCGGCGACUAGCCCUCCCCCCCUGCCCAACAAUUUCCUCUUAGAGAGGUGGCUGGAGCUGAAGGCAUAGCCAAAGUUAAUGCUCCUUUUUCUUUAUCCAACCUCUCCCAAAUCAGUUAGCGUUUAGGCUCUUUUUCACCAAGUAUGAAAACCCAGUGCAUGGCCCGUUUGGCAAGAACCCUUAGACACUUUACUGCCCUAGACCCAGAGGGGCCAGAAGGCUGUCUUAUUCUCAAUAUGCAUUUUAUUACCCAAUCCCCUCCUGACAGUAGAAAAAGCUCCAAAAAUUAGAUUCUAGCCCUCAAAACCCACAACAGGACCUAAUUAACCUCGCCUUCAAGGUGUACAAUAAUAGAGUAGAGGCAGCCAAGUAGCAACUAUUUCUGAGUUGCAAUUACUUGCCUCUACUGUGAGAGAAACUCUAGCCACAUCUCCAUCACACAAGAACUUCAAAACGUCUGAACUGCAGUGGCCAGGUGUUCCUCCAGGACCUCCUCCCCAAGGAGCUUGCUUCAAGUGCCAGAAAUCUGGCCACUGGGCCAAGGAAUGCCCGCAGCCUCGGAUUCCUCCUAAGCCAUGUCCCAUCUGUGCAGGACCCCACUGGAAAAUGGACUGUCCAACUCACCCGGCAGCCACUCCCAGAGCCCCUGGAACUCUGGCCCAAGGCUCUCUGACUGACUCCUUCCCAGAUCUUCUCGGCUCAGCAGCUGAAGACUGACACUGCUUGAUUGCCUGGGAAGCCUAUAGGACCAUCACAGACACUUUGGAUAACUCUUACAGUGAAGGACGGGAAUGUCAGGCCUCUGAGCCCAAGCCUGCACAUAUACAUCCAGAUGGCCUGAAGCAAGUGAAGAAUCACAAAAGAAGUGAAAAUGGCUGGUUCCUGCCUUAACUGAUGACAUUCCACCAUUGUGAUUUGUUCCUGCCCCACCUUAACUGAGUGAUUAACCUUGUGAAAUUCCUUUCCUGGCUCAGAAGCUCCCCCACUGAGCACCUUGUGACCCCCGCCCCUGCCCAUAAGAGAGCAAACCCCUUUGACUGUAAUUGUCCACUACCCACCCAAAUCCUGUAAAACAGCCCCACCCCUAUCUCCCUUCCCUGACUCUCUUUUUGGACUCAGCCCACCUGCAACCAGGUGAAAUAAACAGCCUUGUUGCUCACACAAAGCCUGUUUGGUCGUCUCUUCACGCGGACGUGCGUGACAAUGGGCUCAAGUCGUCCUCCCACCUCAGCCUCCUGAAUAGCUAGGGA